AUUAAGUUUCUGAUUAUAGUGUAACUUAAUUCUGCUUUUUCACGUAGCAAGGUCACAGCUGUUUAGUCCAUGAUGGGAAUUACCCCUCUAUAUUUCCAAGGAAGUCCUUGAAGUGAACUACUUAAAAUGAUGCAGUGUAAAAAGAAUGCGAUAGCUAUAACAUUUAUUUCUUCCUGUUUCCAAGGCCAAAAGAAGCUGGAAAAGAGGGAAUGCAAACAAACAUUGGAGUGUGACCCUGGUUGGAUAGUGACUUUGUUCUUUAUGUUGGGAAGCUCUCUGCUAUCAGCCUGCUUCAGGAUGGCUGGCAAAACAUCUCAUGUUCCCUGUACAUACAAGCCCUUCACUGUAUUGAGCAUGGGACAAGAGAUCUUCAAAGAGGAGAAAUACAUCCUUUACUAUGAGAUAGGAAGCAACCUGGGAUGUCUUCCAAGGAUCCGUGCCUGAAACUGAAGCCAGCUGAUGACUGGAGGAGAGUUCCUAGUCUCUUGAAAUUCCCCUUCAAACCCCACCCCUCGGCUUGGGGGGUUGCUGGACUGUAACAGGCUGCUCAUCUGUCUGCAUGAGGGGACUCACUGCCUUGGGAUUAAAGCUGGGAAGUGCUUUUGGAAAAACAGAAGAUGUGCUGGAUGAGAAUAGUGUCUCUGGCCUGGCAGCCUCCUUCAGCUGCAACUGAGGAGACAGGAAGAAUUUGGCUGCUGUUCUCUGCUCCUGCACCACCCAGCCCAUACUGACAGCUACAGCAACUCAGUGACUACUGUAUUUUUCGUGGCCCUUCUGGCAGGAAGAGAUGAGAGGGAAUGCAGCUACUUCAAUACCCCCUUGUUCCAGGCAUGUCUGUCUUUCCCCAACAGCCCCCUUGGUGGUGCAUAGCUGUUGCAGAAGCUGGCUUCGUAUGAAAGAGGGAAAGUAAAACCUAUUUAUAGACAGCCGGAGCGGCACAUUAUUCAAGGGUCACAGUUGAAAUUAACCAUGAGGUAUUUAACACUGAAGUGGACAGAGCAAGUACUUGAAAACUGUUGGACUGAAUGUCUCUUCCCAAAGAGAAACACGCACGACUUGCUUGGUGUAAGGUCACGCUCAUCACCAAGGUCCUUGGUUCCUUCAUACAGCUGGGAUGAUGAAACCAAGGCCAAGGCUGUAGGCAUCCCACUGCGAUGUAACAGAGGGGAGAUACCACGGGCAGGAAAACCUCGUCUUGGAGAAAGGAGCUGGCUUUACAGAGGCAGGUGGCCCUAGGAAUUCAGGGGGCUGCUGGAAGCUGGCAGAGGUUGCUCCACGGAGAAGAGGAGAUGUAGGGGCCGGAAAACAUUCCCCCAGCACCGCUGGCACCCUUACCAGGACAGAUCUGGUGCUGGGGGUCAGGCGGAGAGAUAGUGAGAAGGACUGGGUUUCGUACAGGACAAUUGGUGCCAGCAAUAUUCACAUCUCCCGUAGCUGAUAAGGACAGCUGCAUGCAGGGGAAGCCAUCUGUACCCAACAGCAAUGACCUGUCCCAUUUCCCUGUAAUACACCACGUUGGGGGACUCGUUUGCUGCUGCUGUUACAGAGGCUUUGCCCAGACCUUCAUUUCUCCAGAAGUUUCUUUCUCCCAAAAGUUCCUUGACAGUGCCUGACCACCCGAUGUCUCAGCUUGCUUGAGGAGUUGGACAAAGCUCAUCUCUUUUAGGACAUAUCAGGAGUAGGAAAAGUGAGAGUGAAGCCAGAGCAGUCACUGGGGUUAUGGAGCUGCCUGGUUUUACUAAAGUCACAGGUUCCGCCCCAAAAUCCCAGCUCGCUGGGGCUCGGGGAGUCUCCAGUCCUCUGUGGGAAGGAUCCAUGGGAAAGCUCCAGCAGGCACCCCCUAAAAACCCACUGGAAUAAGUGACGGUGGCUGUGAGGAAAGACAAUUAUGGUAUUUUCUUAAGAAACCCUAACUUUUAAGGUAACAGCAAGACUUUCCCGAGUUUUGACUCAUCUUUUUUGGACGGGCUGCGGCCAGAGGUGGAAGUUUGGCUUCCCAUGGGGUGGCUACGAGGUCCCUGGCGGAGGCUACUGCAGCAGGGAGAGCACGGCUCCCACGUGCUUGGGAAAUCCUUGAUAGCACAAACUUCUUCAAAGUCCUUGGGCUCACCUUGCGGGUUUUUGGCUUUUUUUUUCCCUUAUUUGCUUGUUGGCCUGAAAGCUUAUUUUUUUUGGAACUGGAUGUUCCCUUACAGAGACGACAUCCGCGUGGCUAAUUCCCACUCGUUGGACACCUUUCCUGGGGCAAAUUCCCCCCUUUUUCUGUGCCUCUCCAGCUCAUUAGCUCCGGGCUGGGAUUUAGGCCAUCGGCUAGCUUUGAAUUUGGUUGUUUUCUUUUUUGUCCUCCUUGGCACAGGAGGGACACAGGCCAUGACUAAACUUUUCUGGUUCUGGUGCCAGCACAAUCAUGUGAGAGGUUCAGAGGCUGAAGAAAAUGCUUCGGAAUCGCAUCUGAAAAAGGAGAUUUUGCAGCUUUUUGUACAUCGGGCUGCAGAUGAAGAGGAGGCAGAAGUCAGACAACGGCGAUUCCUCCUCAGCAAGGCACAAACAACAUCAAGCAUUUUCCAGCCUGGUGCAUCUCUGGUAGCAGCCAGAAGGGCUUGGCUCCAGUGGAGCUCAGAGCUGCAGGAAGCUCCCCAGCUUUGAGGAAAAAAAAAAAAGAAAAAAGGGCAAAUGGGGCUGGUCCUCUGGCCUUGCAACGGGCAGGAUGUUCCUGUGCAUGGGUCCGUGAUGGCAGCCCCCACCUCACCUGUCCCAGGCUUGUGAGACUGGAAGUAUUUGGCCAAAAUGUAAGUAUGUAAAUGGAAGAAAAAAUUAUCUUUUUGUUCUUUUUGUUUGUUUGUUUCCCUCCCCUCAGGUCUAAGCGGAGGUGCAGAGCCACGUGGAGGGUGGGUAAUUGGGGUUUUGGACACGAAGCAUCACGGGUGGUGUCCUGGCCAGCCAUGUGCUUAGAUCAGCCUGGACUUGGAAAUGUUCCUGCUCCUUGCUGGCUCCUUUUGUCCCCCUCUGCCCCCCUCCACCACCUGCACAAGCCGGGUUUGGGGACCCUGGAGCCGGCAGGAAAGGGAAGCAAACCCAAAAAACACAUGAGCACCUUUGUUAUCAUCCUCACCUGAUGAAACAAACUGUUAAAAGCCCCAAAUGAAAGACAUCUCCGGGGGGGGGAGGCUUGCAGCCAACUCAUAAAUCAAAAGUGCACCUAACUUUUUCCCUCCUGGCUGUGCCAGCUCUGUUUGGCUUGGCAGCCUGUCCUCAUUUUCAGGGCAUUAAGGAACCGAAUUAAAUAAUUGAGAACCUUUUCCUUUGCUAGUGUUGUCCUUUGGCCUGCCACCAGGCUCGUUGAGGAUGGACUGCUGGGCUUUGCCUGCUUUUUAUCCGCAUCCACACUGGGGAAGAGCUCAGGAUGGUCGCUGCCACCCAUCUCAGCAGCCCCUCUCCUCUGCCCGUGGUCAGGCUGCACUUUCUGGUUUCCACUUUGAGCACUGAUUUGCAAGGCUGAGCACGGCAAGUUGUUGCCAUAAAUCAGCCUGCCUGGGCUGUAGGGAAAAUUCACCUCCAUAUCACUUCUGUUCUGUUCUAAUUUGUCGUUCUCCUGCCCCUGUGAUAAGCAGUGGAUGCAGGCUUUUAUUCUUCUUCUUUUUUUUUUUAAUUAUUUUUUUUUCAUAGAAAAUUUGGUGUUCAUCCCAAGGGGUCAGGGAGGGACAAUUCCCCUUUUCAGCCCCAAAUUGGUUGCACUGAUCCAGAAGCAGGACAGGGAGGAUUUUUCCAGAGCAUCUCAGCGGCGCAACCGCCAGGAACAUUGGGCUCUCGCUCCUGGCUUUUGUUUGCUUCAAAAUAUCGCUCGGAUGUUUCUGCUGAAAAACCAGGGGGAAAUGGGCCAAACAACGAAGGUUUUGGGGACGCGUUUUCAACCCAGCACUCAGCCCUGCACUGCUGGGAGGUGGAGGGCAGGGGGAGAGCAGGUUGGAGGGAGGCAGAAAGGCAGAGAUGAGGAGUUUGAUGAGAGGGUUUGGAGGCUGCGAGGGCCAGGCUGGGUAUUUUGGGGCUGCUCUCUAGCAAAUCUUUAGUGGCAGUGACUAUUUUAACAUUCUGUAACAUAAAAAACUGUCAGUGCUGCUUUCCAGCUCAAUGUCCCACUCUCCACGCUGCUGCACCAAAGCAAGCAGGACCCUGGGAGGGGGCUGAAGCAUGCUGUGCUGAGCAGGUACAAAAAUUGCUAUUAAAUGACUUUAAUUCCCCUUAAAUAACUUUAUAUUUCACCCCACAUGGCCUCGGCAAUGAUGAAGGUCUGAGCUGACAGCGGUGGGUUUCUCCAAGCCCAGCUUGCAAGGAGCCGUGGCGAUGCUUUCUGAGAAACCGGUGUAAAUGAAGGGAGGGAAAAAAAUAAUAAUUGAGGAAAUUACUCGAAAUUCUGCCUGGGAUCGCCUGGUAGCUAUCCUCCAGCCUCUGGAAAACGUCGCUGCGUGGCUGCAGUGGGCUCGGCGGCUGGGCUGCUGCGGGCGGGUGAAGGCAGGAAGAAAAAUGACCCCGUGUCGCUCUUACAAACAGCUUCCCGAAAGCAGCCUGCGGCCAGGAAUGCUGCUGGAUGCAAUCCCUUGGAGGGGGAGAAAGUCCAGGCCACAAUGGUGCUUGGCUCUGCUCCUCACCAUCCCGUGCCCAAAACCAGCCUCCUGCAGCCGAAACCUGGUUGGCAUCGGUGGGCUUUAACUGUUGCCUCGUGCCCUCUGAGCCCAGGUGAGUGGCUGUGGCGUGGGUCAACCCUGCUCAACCACUGCUAAAAUAGCAAAUAUAUAUAAAUAUAACUGCUAAUAUAGCAGCAACCUGUGGCACUCCUAUAGGGCUGCACGGGAGUCAGGGAGCUGAAUCCCGGGGGUCCUGGCCCCCAGGGCAGUCCAGGUGUUUGGGGAUGGGGAGAUCUCAGUGCCUUAAGAUGCUGCGCUGGAAAUUAGUGCUGAAUUCUCUUCUGAUCCCUAGCAAAGUUGCUAAAACGGGACCAAAAAAGCCAUAAUCCAUCCUGGCUCCGGGACAGGGGCAGUACGGGUGGGAUGGGUUUUGUUCCCAGUCCCCACCGUGCCCACACCGGUUCCCGGUCCUGAAUAGCACCACGAUAAUUUCUCGAGGUUCUCCCAACCCCGGGGACAUCCGAGCUCAAAAAUAAACCCGCAGCAGAGGCGGGGGAGCAGGGAAAGGGCAGCCGACCCCUCUGGCAAAGCUUUGAGGUCACCAGCUGAGGGUGCCUCCAAAAAGGAUGCCAAGGGAGGAAGGAAGGGCUAAUUACUGCUAAUUGCAUUGCACUGCGGCUCGUCUGUCGAGGAAGGGCCCUUCCCCAGGGAAAAGGGGGCUCCCUGUCCUCAGCAGCCCCAGGGGCUAUGCGGGAUGGGGCUCUCCUCCUCCUACCCCACAGAGUAAGCUCACAGGUGGGCUUUGUCCUGGUGGACCCCAAAGCUGGUGCUAUUUGCACGGUUUGUCAGGUCUGACCAAAUUCCCCUUCGUUUCCACCAAAUCUUAGAGCAAGAAAAUAAUCAGGGGGAGCACCAGACAGACCCCAAAAGCACCUUCCCAGGAGCUAGAAACGCCCCUGCAUGGUGCAGGGUUUGCCCAGCUCAGUGACCUCCCCACCUAUCCCCUCCAUAAGACUCUGUAGAGCCAUCCAGGGUUGUCCUCAAGCAUCUUUUUUUUUUUUUCCCCUUUUUCAGCCCUCCUUUUCCCCCUCUUUCCCUCCUCCGCCAGGCUGGCGGCGCCCCAGCCAUGAGCUCACGCCGCUCGCCGCUGGAUCCCGGAUCUGCGUGGGAGGCAGCAGGACAGCAAAAAAAAUGAGUGCAGAAAAAAUAUGAAAUAAAUGAAGCUCUGUGCAGCUCCCGUAGGGUUUUUUCUUAGGGGGGCAAUAACCACAAUAAUGGGGGGGGGAGCUGGGUCCCGUUUUGGGAGGACCACCGAGGUCCGAGCCAUGGCGCGGGUCCAGGGGUCUGCAGGAGGUGCAGAGCAUCUUGCAGGAGCAGGUCUGUGGGAGGGACAGGUGGUACAUUUUAAUCAUAAUUUUUUUUUUUUCUCCCCUUUUACAGCUCCCCAGGUAUGGCAACUUGGUGUUAUUCCUGCAGGGGAUGCGAUCAAAGAUAAAUUUGGUGUCACGGUGUCUCCCUUGGCAUAACCACCUGAAGGCACGUGCAAGUGGAAAGAAGUGCCGGGGGGGGGGGGGCUCUGAUUUUCACCUCUCCCUCCUACAGCCUCCCAGCACCAGGCACUGCACCUUUUCCUGCUUGCUGCUGUUUUAAAAGUGACCCCUUCAUUUUUCUAGCAUCCUUUUUUUUUUUUUUUUUUCAGGAAAAACCGUGCAAAGAGACAUCAGGACCUUUGAGACAAAAUGGAAAUGUGCCGCUUGUUUUUGGAGCAGAGGCCGAACACAAGGGACAUCCCAAUGCAAAAGGGUGCAAAAUACUCCAGGAAAAGCCCCCCCCGUGUCAUCCCAAGGUGCUGGGGGUGCAUUGGUGCAAAUAUAAUGACUGAUGGAGCGUUAUUUGUGCUCCGUGCUCUCCGGAGCCUCCCCUUGGCACUCAACAGGAGCUGCUGCAGAAUGCAGCUCGGGCACCGUGGCCUCGAUUCCCCAGCUCCUCCAAGCCCACCGAGGGCUGCUGUCGGCAUUCCCAGGGCUUCCCAGCUGGGAAAUAGCAGCCAUCUCCGCGGAGAGCCUGAUGUCACAAGAUUUUUCAGCCUGAUUUCCAGAGCAGCGGUCUGGAUGCACUUCAAACCUCUGACUGCUUUUUCCAACCAGCGUUGUUGCUUGGGAUUUUUGGGGGAUUUUUUUUUUUUUUUUCCGGGCUCUCCCUUCUCCAGGUCUCAGCCUGUGAGCGUAGCUGCUGAUUGAGCAAUCGGCGUCUGUUCCUUAGACACGUCGCCAUGGAAAUUCCUGAGAUUGCUGGUGGGGACCGACACAAAAUUAGCCUGGGCUGGGGAGGAGGAAGAGGAGGAGGAGGUUGAGGAGGAGUAGGAGGCAGCCGCUUGGGAGAUGGGUUUGCUGCAGGAGCAAGUCCUUUCUGCUCGUCCUCUCCAGGAGCAGCCACUUCCAGGGGCUGGCUGUCAAGAAGAUUUGCAAGGGGCUGUUCUUCUCCCCUCUCCUUUUUACGUGACCACCGGCACCAGCCGGCCCCGCAGAGGAACACAGCUUGCGCGGGGCUGACCAGGACACAGCGCGCUCUUUUGCAAUCAGCUUGGCUCUGAAUUGCAAGCAAAAAUGCCUUUUUUUUUUUUUUUUCCCCAAAAAAAAAAUUAAAAAAGGAGCUGUUCCAGUGGCUGCCUGUCACAAUGGGAAGAGGGGUGGGAAUGAGGUGCCAUUCUCAGUGUGCUUCUUCCUAACCCAAUGAUGCUGAAAUUCUUCCCUCCCGCUUUCAGGAUGAAGCCAUGCCAGGCACUCGGGGGCUCAUUUCGCUCUCCCCAGCAGCAGAUGCUUUCGUGCUUGGCAGCUGAACCCAAAAAUCCACCUUGGCCUGCUGGGAAGUGGGAAGAAAGAGGCUGUUUGGUGAGGACGCCCUGACUUGUCCUGCUUCAGGGAGCAUCCUCCCUUGGGAAAUGCUCGCUGGGAGAAUUAGCACGGGUUUCAUUUUUUUCCUCUACCAUGAGUUGCACUUCGUCAAUGUUACACCACUGCGGAGCGAGAUGUAGCUCCUCUAUGGUCCACUGAAGGGUUUUUUUGAGUUAACACCUGCAUUUUUCGGUUCCCCUUUGGGCUAUAUGCUGCUUUUAGGCCCAUAUGGAUGCCUACAACCUGCUCUGCAUCUGGGUUUUCAGGUGGAAAGAAGGGGUGCUCGUAAGGGAGCACCCUCACGGCCACAAAAAAAACACAGAAAGCAAUAAAAGCAUAUGGGGAGCUGGGUGUGCACAUCCUCAGGGGCUUUUCCAAGCUCGUUUUUCACUUCCAGCAGUUUUGGAAGUAAGAAAAUAAGGCAGCGAGCAUGGCACCGCCAUGGGUUAGUGGGGAACAUCAGGCUCACUGCAGUGAACCUGAUCAGUUCUCCCUGUCUGCAGAAUUAAUCACUGCUGGAAAGCUGGACAAAUAUUUUCAAAAUAACAAAAAGCUGCCUUCCUGCCUAACAACCUUUUUCAGGCCUUUCAGAUUUCUACAUCCACUUCAGUUCAUUGACCAUGCUCAAAAUCUUCAGGUUCUGUACAUCGGCUAUGUAAUAUACAUUAAUUACAU